rnacentral:lncRNA from 1 species
UCUUCCAUUGUCUAUCCACAAUGAAAGUAGUUCUAAUUUUAAGAUUCCAGUGCAUGCUUUUGGGUUCGGGGCAGACCAUGAUGCUUCAUCAAUGCACUCAAUCUCAGAGAUAUCUGGAGGAACCUUCUCUUUCAUUGAAACAGAAGGUGUAAUCCAGGAUGCAUUUGCUCAGUGCAUUGGUGGACUUUUGAGUGUUGUGGUCAAGGACCUGCAGGUGAAUAUUGAGUGUGUUGAUCCAAGAGUCAGUCUUGGUUCCUUAAAAGCUGGAAGCUACCCCAAUCGUGUGAUGUCGGAUGGAUGCAUGGGAACUAUUGAUGUUGGCGACCUGUAUGCUGAUGAGGAACGAGACUUUCUAGUUUCAGUUAAUGUCCCAACUGAAAUUUCAAGCUCUGAAACUGCAUUGAUAAGGGUGAAAUGUGUUUACAAUGAUCCUUUGACAAAAGGCUCGGUGACUGUUGGAAGUGAUGAAGUUAGGAUUAGAAGACCUGAUGAAGCUGGACAACAAAGUGCAUCAGUUGAAGUGGAUAGGCAACAGAACAGGCUGCGUGCGGCUGAGGCGAUGCUCCUAGCGCGAACUACGGCUGAGAAAGGAGACCUGUCUGGUGCAGCAUCUAUUCUUGAAAACUGUCGCAAGGUGUUGUCAGAAACUGUUUCGGCCAAGUCUCAUGAUCGGCUCUGCAUUGCACUUGAUGCUGAGCUUAAAGAAAUGCAAGAGAGACUGGCAAGCAGACAUGUGUAUGAAGCAUCAGGAAGGGCAUAUAUUCUUUCAGGACUAAGCUCACACUCAUGGCAGAGAGCAACAGCACGAGGUGACUCGACGGAUGGUUCAAGCCUGGUUCAGGCCUAUCAAACCCCGUCAAUGACCGAGAUGCUGAAUCGGUCUCAGGCUUCCCUACUAGGUAGUUCUUCAGCUCAGAGGCUCAUUCGACCUGUUUUAUCAUUUGCAUCACAUCCAAAGCCAAGGUGACCUUGCGACACCAAGAUAUGGAGUUUUCUCAAAGAUAACUGUUUUUCAUUGGUCUCCUUGAUGCUAUAGCUGUGCUUAUUUGUGUUUUGGGCCGGGGAAAAGUUAAUAGGUAAGAAACAGUUUUGGGUGUCAUUAUCUUCCUGUCUCAAUUAUGUAAAGCAAUAAACAUUGGUGAAGCGUGGAAAGUAUAAUGGGGUCAAGGUAAGGGGUAAACGGAGUAGGAUAAUCCAACUUUUGCUUUUUGUUGUUUCUUUUUCACCUUGUGGGUAUCAUUGGGGGUGGUGUACAUAAGGAAAGAUGGAUUUUCAUCUGAGAGAGAAGCCGGUAUAAGUUUGUAAUUGUGGAAAUAUUUUGUGAACUGCGCAGCUAUUACAUAAGAAUGUGAUUCUUUCACGGAGUUUUAAUAAUCAUGCAGUGGUAUGACUGGUACUAAUUCUUCAGCCACUUGAUAAAAUGGACUCUCUCUUUACGCAACUGAGAUCAUGAUAAGCAUGCAAAAAGUCACUCAAGAUGGUAUGGUACUACUAUCAUGGGAUGGAAAAGAUGAAACAUAUAUUAUUGUUUAAUUUUAGGAAAAGAUGAACUUCAAAGUUGACCUUCCGUGGAGACUUGUGCUUCUCCUCAUUCAUUACUAGUCCAGAGAACAAAAGCUAGCACUACAGUGCUUUGACAUUGCACCGGAUUGUUGCCAAGAAAUACACUACUGUACUGUCCUACUGUACUGUAAAAGAUGGUGUGGUGCAUUAUUCUAAACGGUCCAUACCCUUUUCCAGCCUCUCAAUUGACUUUAAAAACUUUGGGGAUUGAUAAAGAUGGUCAUGAUCCUUUAUUUUUUUCAUGAUCCUUUAUUGAUUCACUUUUUUGUUGCAUGAAAUGUCUCAUAACGUAGAAAGCUUUAAAAAAAUAUUGGGUACUCUUUAGCUUUUUGUUCCGUUACGUCUUUUCAUACGAUAAGGGGAAAUUAAUUCUUAUCUUUGCCGCGGGCGGGCUCACAUAUCAGAUUAUUAUGUGCGAGAAUAGGCAGCUUUACUGAUUGCGAGCAAAGAUUGAAUAUCAUCAGGUCAGCAACUGUGGCAAUCUCAAAGCUCCAGCUCCAAAUUCCAGUGAGAACAUGAGUAGAAACCAGGCAAGUUCACCCCAAGUUUCCCAAACAUCUCGUGCACCUGUUGACCUUGUCACGGUUCUAGAUGUCAGUGGCAGCAUGGCAGGUACCAAGCUUGCAUUGCUCAAGCGAGCUAUGGGGUUUGUGAUACAGAACCUUGGUCCCAAUGACAGGCUUGCAGUAAUUGCCUUCUCAUCAACCGCCCGCCGGUUGUUUCCCCUUCGUAGGAUGUCUGAAACAGGACGGCAGCAAGCACUGCAAGCUGUUAACUCUUUAGUUGCAAAUGGAGGGACAAACAUUGCUGAAGGCUUGCGCAAGGGUGCCAAGGUAAUGGAAGAUCGCAGAGAAAAGAACCCUGUUGCCAGUAUUAUAUUGCUAUCUGAUGGGCAAGAUACAUAUACAGUUAGUAACAUGGGGAGCAGUCAACAGCAACCAAAUUACCAACUUCUUCUUCCAUUGUCUAUCCACAAUGAAAGUAGUUCUAAUUUUAAGAUUCCAGUGCAUGCUUUUGGGUUCGGGGCAGACCAUGAUGCUUCAUCAAUGCACUCAAUCUCAGAGAUAUCUGGAGGAACCUUCUCUUUCAUUGAAACAGAAGGUGUAAUCCAGGAUGCAUUUGCUCAGUGCAUUGGUGGACUUUUGAGUGUUGUGGUCAAGGACCUGCAGGUGAAUAUUGAGUGUGUUGAUCCAAGAGUCAGUCUUGGUUCCUUAAAAGCUGGAAGCUACCCCAAUCGUGUGAUGUCGGAUGGAUGCAUGGGAACUAUUGAUGUUGGCGAC